GGGAAUGAGGCUCUGUGGGAGAGCGCUUGCCUGGCAUGCAUGAGGCCCUGGGUUUGAUCCCCAGCACCA
rfam:Ictidomys tridecemlineatus contig052663, whole genome shotgun sequence.